rnacentral:rRNA from 1 species
AGUGAACGCUGGCGGUAGGCCUAACACAUGCAAGUCGAACGGCAGCACAGUAAGAGCUUGCUCUUACGGGUGGCGAGUGGCGGACGGGUGAGGAAUACAUCGGAAUCUACUUUUUCGUGGGGGAUAACGUAGGGAAACUUACGCUAAUACCGCAUACGACCUACGGGUGAAAGCAGGGGAUCUUCGGACCUUGCGCGAUUGGAUGAGCCGAUGUCGGAUUAGCUAGUUGGCGGGGUAAAGGCCCACCAAGGCGACGAUCCGUAGCUGGUCUGAGAGGAUGAUCAGCCACACUGGAACUGAGACACGGUCCAGACUCCUACGGGAGGCAGCAGUGGGGAAUAUUGGACAAUGGGCGCAAGCCUGAUCCAGCCAUACCGCGUGGGUGAAGAAGGCCUUCGGGUUGUAAAGCCCUUUUGUUGGGAAAGAAAAGCAGCAGGUUAAUACCCCGCUGUUCUGACGGUACCCAAAGAAUAAGCACCGGCUAGCUUCGUG